GAUGAACGCUGGCGGCGUGCCUAAUACAUGCAAGUCGAGCGAACGGACGAGAUGCUUGUUUCUCUGAUGUUAGCGGCGGACGGGUGAGUAACACGUGGGGAACCUACCUAUAAGACUGGGAUAACUUCGGGAAACGAGAGCUAAUACCGCAUAAUAUUUUUAACCACAUGGUUCAAAAGUGAAAGACGCUCUUGCUGUCACUUAUAGAUAGAUCCGCGCUGCAUUAGCUAGUUGGUAAGGUAACGGCAUACAAAGCCAACAAUGAAUAGCCAACCGGAGAGGGUGACCGGCACCACUGGAACGGGACACCGGCCAAACCUCCACCGGGAGGAAGCAGUGGGGAAUCUCGCGCAUUGGGCGAAAGCCGGCCGGAGAAACGCGGCGGAGUGGAUGAAGUUCUUCGAUCGGUAAACUCCUUUGAUAGGGGAGAACGAUAUGUGUAAGUAACUGCGCACAUAGUGACGGUAACUACUCAGAAAGCGACGGCUAACUACGUG
rnacentral:rRNA from 1 species